GUCUGUGUAUUUUUUGCUGCCAGAAGGGAUCCAAAUAGGUUGUAACUGGGAGUAAAAGAUGUGUCUAAACUGAUCGUCUGGUGCGAAAAUCGACGACCAAGAUCCAGUUAUGUGUAUUGCAGGACAACACCUUUCAUUAGAUACACUUUGAUGCUAUUUCUAGCAUGAUUUUCUAUUUCAGACUUAAAACUAAAUUUCUGAACAACUAAAAUCGCUCUUGUUCCUUAUUUUUUUAGGGCGGUUCCUCUCAUUUUACUGGUUCGUCCUCUCCUUCAUGAUUGAUGUACUGGUUCUGGCCGCUCCUUCGUGAUAGACUCGGUUAACUCUUUGUUAGCCUUGUGGGUCGUAAUUCUUUCUCUCCAGACGCAUAUACUGCCUAAUGUAUUGCUCAUGCUCAUUCUGUACCGAGAUAGUCCUAAUAUCCAUAGGGUUGUAGAUUGAUUUCCCCUGAAAAAGCUAUGCUUCUUUCCUUGGAUGAUAAGCAUGUUCGGCAGCUAUGUGGAAUUCUUAAGAUAAACGGUCUUUAGUAUCUUUUGGUGCAUCUGCGUGCACGUAACAGUCUGUUAGUUUCUCUUUAUAUAAUGAAAAAAAUAUGCUACUGUUGCUUGUUUAUUAUUAUCUAUCAUUUGUAGAUUUAUUUUUAGGCCACCGGUGCUUGUAUGUAUAAUUUCUAGUCUCUUGAAUGAAUAAUUUUUCUUUAUGUGUCAUGCGUCUUGUGUUACUACAUACAUCUGUCGUGAAGUACAUGGUUCCGGAACUAUGGUAACCCGUAGUUUGCUCUACCCGUGAUAGUAGGAUGAUGGAAGCAUCACUACUGAAUGUAGUUCAUGUUUCUUCAUAUAAUCAUCAUUUACUAGAGUUUCUCUUCUUCUUGCUACUGCUUGGUUUUUGACGCCACUAGCUUGUACUAAAACGUAAACACAUCAUAUUGUUUUCAUCAGACUAGGGUACCUUGAGCAUGCAAAGUAAACACAUGCUACUCCACUUGUCUAUUUGUACAUAAACUUUUUUUAAAAUAAACCGAGCUAAUAAACCAAACGGUGCGAACACAUUCAGUUCUGAAAUUUGUCUACUCCACUUAUUUGAUUGUACUAAAACCUUUGUUUGCAUGUUUCUAAAAUACAGAGAAGAACACCCUGUGUUCUGGUAAAAUAUUUGUUUGCUAUGAUAUGAAAUCCCAUGAUGUGUGUGUUGUUUCAGUUUCUGUAGCUACAACAAAGUCCCAGUUUACUCUGUACUUGCUUUUGAUGAUUGCUGGCUAAAUUUACAGUUGAAAUAAUAGUAGCCAAGGAGUAGAUACAAGACGUAUUUACCGUAUUUUGCAUGGAAUGUUAAAAAUCAGUUUUGUUGCGGUUUCUUGUUCUGUGAGUCAAAUUGCAUAAGAUGGGAGUAUCACAACAUGCAUAUACUGAAGAUGGGAGUAUCACAACCUGAAUGUGCAGCUUAUGUAGUUUCUGUAUUUUUGUUAAAGCAUGGAGUAGCUUCUAUAGUUUCUGUAUUUUUGUUAAAGCAUGGAGUAGCUUCUAUAGCUUCCUCACAAGUUAAUGCUUCGCUCGUCCGGGUGUGUGAUAAAGCCAUUUGUCUUGUGGAAUCAGAUUACAUUUCUGUUUGUUAUGGUAAUAUAAAAAUAUUCGUGCUAUCAAAAUUUUCACAGUGCGUGUCUUUCAUUUCUUUAAUUUGAUUGUUUCCCUUGUAUUCAAUAUGCUUCUAGUGGCUGAUCCUUCCAUUUUUGUUGUGGCAUCUUUAUUUUCACAGGUGUUGUGUGUUCUGGAAGAUGGAAGAGGAAGAAAUUGUUGAACUAAAUUUUCUGUAUUCUGUUUUGUUGUACGUAUCAUUUGAUAGUUUUGUAUAGGAACAAGUGAUACUAUUUUGUAGGGCUUUAUGGCCUGUGAUGUAAACAUAUUUAGUGCUGAAAUAUGAAAUUAUUUGCAAAAUUU
rnacentral:lncRNA from 1 species